UUUUUUGAAGCUAAGUGAGCCUAAAAGUUGCUAUUAAAACAAUGAAUGAAGACGCUGUACCAGUGGAAAGUAUGGGUUGGCCAGUGUGGUGGCUCACGCUGGUAAUCUUGGCGCUCUGGGAGGCCGAGACGGGCAGAUCGCUUGAGUCCAGGAGUUUGAAACCAGCCUAUGCAACAUAAUGAGACCUCCAUCUGUACUUAAAAAAAUACAAGGCCGGGCGUGGCAGCUCAUGCCUGUAAUCUCAGCACUUUGGGAGGCUGAGGUGGGUGGAUCACCUGAGGUCAGAAGUUCGAGACCAGCCUGGCCAACAUGGUAAAACCCGUCUAAAAAUACAAAAUUAGCUGGGCGUGGUGGCCAGUCGCCUAUAAUCCCAGCUACUUGGGAGGCUGAGGCAGGAGGAUCCCUUGAACCCAGGAGACAGAGCUUGCAGUGAGCCAAGAUCACACCACUGUACUCCAGCCUGGGGACAGAGCAAGACUCUGUCUCAAAAAAAAAGAAAAAAAAAAUUAGCUGGAUGUGGUGACAUGCGCCUGUAGUACUAGCUACUUGGGAGGCUCAGGUGGGAGAAUCACCUGAGCCGAGGUCCAGGCUGCAGUGAGCUGAGAGUAUGUCACUGCACUCCAGCCUGGGCACAUGGAGCGAGACCCUGUCUCAAAAGAAGAAAAAAAAAAAUAGGAUUAGUAGAGAGUUCAGGCCUCAAGACUACCUGUCCUUUAACUCUUUGCCUUUGAUUGUGUCAAAGAGUCGUGUGUAGGCAGCUUGGCAGAAAGCCCAGAAGCAGACCGUGAAGGCACGCUGCGAAGCUUUGACCUGAAGAAGGUCUUGUGCUUUUCCACGCUAGAGUGGUGGCCAGCAUGCAGGCCCCACGCUCGGUUGACUACUCUGCUGUUGCUGCAUUGACACUUUUAAUCAUUUUUGAGCUACAGUCCCUCUGUUUCAUUUUGCACUGAGCCCUGCAAAUUAUAUAGUUGGUCCUGGAGAUGACAUGUUUCUCUUUUAGAUACAUAAGGGCCACCAAUCUAUUUAAAUCUGUUAAAUUUGAAACUGCAAAUUCAGAUGCAAAAGACCAUGUCAGAAAGAUGUGGGCAUGAUCACACAACAACACAAAGAGGUAUCACGACACAAGCUACACCGGCACAGCACGUCAAGGGCAUCUAACCACGCCCCCCCCAUUCUCAAUUCUCCACAAUUAGAGAUUCAUUCCACAUAUACAGGGAGCCAUGAAGGUUUGCUAUCAGGAGCCAGCCCCUUGCAACAAACCCAUCCCUCAGGCCCAGGACCUCUGACUUUGGGACAGUUCUGUGGACAGGAAUGAAGCUCUGCAAAAGUUUAGUUCUUCCUACAGGCUGGGAGGCCUUGAGCAAGCCACUUAUGAAAGCUGAACCACAGCCUGGGAAACACAGCAAGACCCUGUCUCUGCAAAAAGUGGAAACAUUAGCCAGGCAUGAUGGGAUGUGCCUGCGGUCCCAGCGACUUGGGAGACCAAGGCGGAGGGACUGCUUGAGCCUGGGAGGCCAAGGCUGCAGUGAGCUGUGAUUGUUGCCUCUACACUCCAGCCUGGGUGACAGAGCGAGACCUUGUCUCAAAAAAAUUUUUAGCUGGGUGCGGUGGCUCACGCCUGUAAUCCCAGCACUUUGGGAGGCCAAGACGGGUGGAUCACGAGGUCAGGAGAUCGAGACCAUCCUGGCUAACACAGUGAAACCCCGUCUCUACCAAAAAAGACAAAAAAAUUAGCCAGGCGUGGUGGCGGGUGCCUGUAGUCCCAGC
ensembl:lncRNA